rnacentral:lncRNA from 10 species
CUCUGGUGUGUCUUUAUUAUCAGCAUGAGAACAGACUAAUAUGAUUCGUGUGUAUGGAGAUGUAUGUAUUUACCAUCAAUUCUGUUAUGGUUAACAAUUGGCAAUAGUUAUAUCAGAAGCAUAGAGAAUCUUGCUAUAGGAUUUGCCAUGGGGAACCUAGAGAGCAAGAGGAUUGCUCACUUAAGGGGAAACUAACUACCACGUUAUGCAGCUCUACUGUAAAAAUGCACAGGGUGAGAAACCAAGGCCUCCUUCUGACAGGAGCCACUUGCCGGUCAUGUUCGCAGAGGAAGAAUUGUGCCCCUGGAUGAAUUAUACCUACAGCCUCACUCAUAUCCAAUUUAGAUAAUGUAGGUAAGAGUUGGAAAUUUUGAACUGAUGAGAUCUUGGACUUUGAGUUGAAGCUGUAAUGGAUUGAGACUUUUGGGAACCCUGAAGUGCGGUGAAUGUAUUUUGUGUGUAGGACAUAUAUGAAUCAUUGGGGGGUUAGAAGUGUGCUAUGAUAGAUACCCCCACAUACACACACAAGAGGUCCACUUUUUACUCCCUGAAGCUUGUGAAUAUGUUAACUUACUUGGCAAAAAAAAAAAAAAGGGAAAAAAGAAACUUGGCAGAUGUAAUUAGGUUAAGGGUCUUGAGAUUGGUAGAUUCUUUGGGUAGACCAACUGUAAUCACAUGGCUCCUUGUAAGAGCAGAGAGGCAGUACAUUGGAGGCCAGAGAAAGAUAUCAAGAUCCUAUGCUACUGGCUUUGCUGAUGGAGGAAGAAGCCAUUAAGCCAAGGAAUGCAGGUGGCAUCUAGAAGCUAGAAAAAGCAAGGAAACAGAUUUUGUCCAACAGCCUCCAGAAAGAGAAGAAUGAAAUACAAUUUACCAUAGAAUGCAUUGUGCCAUUACUUAAAUUGUUAUUUUAAAUUAUUUUUUAACCUUUUUUGCUUAUUAGUUGUUUGAGAUUAUGAAUCUUAUGCUGCUAGAAUUAAUUACACCUCCAUUACCAUUGGAUCCAGCUGAUGUCCAAUCAAUAAAUACCUGUUGAUUGAAUUGGUUAUAAAUUUCACUUUUUUUCUUUUUUUUUUCAUGGAGGUGUAAUUUACAUGAAAGAAAAUGGACAGGUUUUGAUUUUUUUUUCCAUUGAGGUGUAAUUUACGUAAAAUAACAUGCAUAGGUUUUAAGUGUUCAUUUGAAUGAAUUUGUCAAAUAUAUAUAGCAAAGUAACCACUGUGCAAAACAAGAUACAAAAUAUUUCUAUAUUCCCAAAAGGUUCCUUGUGUACUGUACAGUCAUCCCAUUUUCCAAGAAACAAUUAUUUUCAGAUUUAUUUUACACAACAAAAUGUUUAUUACUAGUUGUAUCUCGUGGUAAGAUUACAUAAUAACACAAAUUAUUUAUUCUCUCGUAUUGUUAGACAUUUAUUUAACAGUAUCAGGAAUUGAUUACAUUAUCAGGAGCAAUGCUCCAAAGUAUUUGUGGCAUUUUAUAUCCCUGCCAGCAACAUACAAGGAUUCCAAUAUGAUCUGUGUCUUUGCCAGUAUUUGGUAUUGUCAGACAUUUUAAUUUUAGCUAUUCAAAUGCAAAUGAAAUGAUAUCUCAUUGUUGUUUUAGUUUUCAUUUUACUGGUUGCUAUAGUUAAGAUGUUUACCCCCUCCAAAUCUCAUGUUAAAAUUUAAUCCCCAGUAUUGGAGGUGGGCCUAAUGGGAGUUAUUUGGGUUAUGGGAGUUGAUACCUCAUUAAUAGAUUAAUGCUCUUCUGGGGGGUGGUGAGUGUGUUUUCCCUCUUUUAGUUUUUGUGAAAGCUGGUUGUUAAAAAGAACCUGGUACCUUCUCCUUCUCCUCUUGUUUCCACUCUGGUCAUGUGAUCUCUAUACACCAGCUCCCCUUCACCUUCUGCCAUGAGUGAAAGCAGACUGAGGCCCUCACCAGAAGCAGAUGCUGGCCUCAUGCUUCUUGUACAGCCUGUAGAACUGUGAGCCAAAUAAACCUCUUUUCUUUAUAAAUUACCCAACCUCAGGGAUUCCUUUAUAACAACACAAAAUAGGCUGUGAUACUGAUGACUAUUGAUAUUGAAGACUGUAUUAGUCCAUUUUCAUGCUGCUAAUAAAGACAUACCUGAAACUGGGAAGAAAAAGAGGUUUAGGAAGGCUGAAGUGGGUGGAUCAUGAAGUCAGGAGUUUGAGACCAGCCUGGCCAACAUGGUGAAACUCCAUCUCUACUAAAAAUACAAAAAUUAGCCAGGCAUGGUGGUGGGCACCUGUAAUCCCAGCUACUCAGGAGGCUGAGGCAGGAGAAUCACUUGAACCCGGGAGGUGGAGG